rnacentral:lncRNA from 13 species
CAGAGUAGACACACCUCACUUCUUGGACAUCACUGAAGAAUGUUCUGGUCCUUCAGGAAUGUCUUCCACAAUGGUUGAACUAGUUUACAUGCUCAGCAACAGUGUAAAAGUGUUCCUGUUUCUCCACAUCCUCUUGAACAUGUGAUGUCUCCAGAUUUUUUAAUGAUCACCAUUCUAACUGGCAUGAGAUUCCUAAUCUGAAAAUCUGAAAUCCAUAGUGCUCUGAAAUCUGAAACUUUUUGAGCACCAACAUGACACCAUGUGUAAGAAAUUCCACUUCUAAGUGCACCAGAGCACAUCUUUAUGUCUGCCACCAGCCCACUUCUGCAAUUCCUGUUCUUCGGAUCUCCCUGGAUCACCUGCCCCCGUCUUUUUACCCCUUACCUCAACUGCAAGAUUAUAGAGUCAAAUUAUCAGGAAGCUGAAUUUUGUAAAACCUGAUGUUCUUUGUCUGAAACUGACUUUUUGCCUCAAUUUCCAGCCUGAAACAGCAUAUAAGCUGAACUGCCUCCUUUGUUAGGCUCCCCGACUGUUUUAGGCGUGAGCCUGCUGCCAUCCUGGGUGCCCAGGCAUCCGUAAUAAAGUUCUCUUCUGUCUUAAGGAAAAAAAAAAA